CCCACUCCCCUGCCCUCAGGCUCAUUUAAGGGCUAGCCUCUGAAGGGAGAGCUUCUUCUGGAUGAAGGCCCUUGUGUAGGAGAGUUCCAUAGCCAAAAUUUCAAUGCCGGCUGGGUGAGUCAAUAUGACCUGAUCUGACUGACAGAUUAAAUGACUUUGCAUAUAAUAUCCAGAUAAAACAAUCACACAUAAUUGGAAAUAUCUGUUCUAAUCAGAAGUUUUUAAAAGCAAAUUAGUCUUCCCUUCUUCCUGCUUCUUUCAUGAGUGAAAGAAACAAUCCUCAGUGAAUCAGCUGAGUCUCUUUUGGACUUGAUUGGUGGGUGGAUGGAUGGACAGUUCCCUGUGGGGAAGUUCCUUCAGGCAGCUGUGUGAUCAGAACAGAUACCUCUGGUCACGGGCAUGAGUGGGCAUCUGCAGUGCUGUAGAAGCAGUGCAGCAUUUCUAAAAGGAAAGGAUCAUGCAACUGAAAACUGUACUGCGGUGUCCUAAAUAAGGACAGCUGCAGGGCUGAAGCUUAUCACCUGCCCUUCCUGAGCUCAGUAAUAUAUGGAUUUGCUUUUAUUUAAUUUUUACUGUUGCACUAGCUCCUGGCAGGUGUACUCUUAAUGUGUUGAUCAUAGCUGCCCUACAAUUGCUCUGUUCUGCACCCAAUUGUUAUUUCUUUUUCAUCUACAAGUUUUAUCAAGCAAGUUUUAAGAGAUGACAGCAUCAUUCCAGAUUACAUUUGGUAAUAAUGAUACUGCUGCUGGGCAGGUAUUUUUCUCUUCUGCUCUGCUCAAACUCAGCAACGACCUUCAAACUCUUGUGAUCUGUGGCACAAAGAUGGAUGCAUCUCUGCCUUUCUUACAGCCCUAGUGAAGGGCUAUAGCAUACAUGAGAUCUAAUGUAAAAAUGCAAGCCAAUUCAGGUUGUCUUUCCCUUCUGAGUAAUGGUAGUGAGUAGACAGUGCUUAGGUAGUCUUCCCAGAGCAAUAUCUUAUUUUGAGCCAAAACAUUGAACAGAGAGGUUAACCAAGUUCUGAGCAAUCAGAUUAUUUACCAACUCUUGUACCUUGGGAUGUACCCAUGUUGUCUUGGGCAUUUCUGCAGGUCCUCCUUCUGAGGAGUUCCCUGAAACUUUGACCCCAACUGUCUUCCACAGCUUGCUGCCAUGCAGAGCUGAAUAUAACCAGCACCCUGUCAGACCAAACCAGUAAUAAGACUGUGGAGAAUAGUGGUUAGUCUGCAGUCAGGGAAGGAAUCACUGGGAAAUAGGUUUUUUUUUGUUUUUUUUUUUAAGCUGUGAAAUACCAUUGUGGUGUUUCCCAGAAAAGCCUCUCUUGGACAUGAGGAGCUCUAGUCCAGACCAGUGCAAGUCUAGAGCAUUAGCAGCCCGUUUGCAUCUUGCCACAUGCAGCAUACAUAAACAAUUACUACUCCUAAGUCAUUCUGGGGCACCUCGCCUUGAGACAUACAUGAUAUUUCACCCAGUAGGUCAAGUCUCCAGGGGUGACUUGCAGCCACAAGUGGGUUGGAUAAGAUGUGUAACUUUCCUCUGUAAUAUUACUUUUUUUUCUUUAUAGUAUAGCCCCAUUAGGCUGUUGAGUGUUUUCCUAACCACAACUGACUUAGGAUAAUACAAGUCUAGCAGAAAAGGCAUGAAGAGACUUAGCAGCUGGGAGUAAAUUUGACACAAAUUUAGUGUAGAAAUAAAUUUCAGAUUACUAUUUUAAAACAAUGGAAGGUGAUUAAUCAUUAUAACAAAUUCCUUGGGCUUGUGGUAGGAUUUCCCAAACUUGAAAUCUUUUCUGAAUGUUGUCUUAAAACCUCUGCCUGAGUUUCAAUAGAGCUUACUAGCUGGAUGCUAAAAGCUUCAUUGGAAUUCUUUGGAAUGUAUACACAGUAGUCCAGAUGAGAGCUCAUAGGCACCCUUCUGAUUUCAAAAGUCAUGAUUAUUCAGUUGAUUUAAGACCUUGUUGACUUCAACUUAUGUCUACUUGCUUAAGUUUUCACUCCCAGUAUGAAAUCUCUAUGCUGAGUUUGAAGCCUAUUGUUAUUUUUUAUUUACGAGCUCUCCAUGUAAUUCUAGAUUAAUAUCUUUGGGUAAGUGUAACUCUAAAGUUAUUGCCAGUGUUGUCAUUGAUAUAUUCUGUUUAGAUCUGAAUGUUCUCUCAAACUGAGCAAGGUAAAAAGAAUAAGUUGGACUAAGUGUCCUAUGUCCUGUAUAUUCUGCCAGGCUUUUCUGUAAGAGUGACUUUUUUUUUUAAUUGCUGUAACAGGAAGUUUAGAUGUAUUACAAUCAGAAGAUGUCAAAGUAUUUCCCCAGAUCCAAAUAGGGAAAGGUAACAGAUUUCUGCCUCCACACUGUACAAUUUAUUUCAGAUAUAUCCUUAUCUUUAAUAAAAG